rnacentral:rRNA from 1 species
GGGUUGUGAGGUUAAGCGACUAAGCGUACACGGUGGAUGCCCUGGCAGUCAGAGGCGAUGAAGGACGUGCUAAUCUGCGAUAAGCGUCGGUAAGGUGAUAUGAACCGUUAUAACCGGCGAUUUCCGAAUGGGGAAACCCAGUGUGAUUCGUCACACUAUCAUUAACUGAAUCCAUAGGUUAAUGAGGCGAACCGGGGGAACUGAAACAUCUAAGUACCCCGAGGAAAAGAAAUCAACCGAGAUUCCCCCAGUAGCGGCGAGCGAACGGGGAGCAGCCCAGAGCCUGAAUCAGUGUGUGUGUUAGUGGAAGCGUCUGGAAAGGCGUGCGAUACAGGGUGACAGCCCCGUACACAAAAAUGCACAUGCUGUGAGCUCGAUGAGUAGGGCGGGACACGUGGUAUCCUGUCUGAAUAUGGGGGGACCAUCCUCCAAGGCUAAAUACUCCUGACUGACCGAUAGUGAACCAGUACCGUGAGGGAAAGGCGAAAAGAACCCCGGCGAGGGGAGUGAAAAAGAACCUGAAACCGUGUACGUACAAGCAGUGGGAGCCUCUUUUAUGGGGUGACUGCGUACCUUUUGUAUAAUGGGUCAGCGACUUAUAUUCUGUAGCAAGGUUAACCGAAUAGGGGAGCCGAAGGGAAACCGAGUCUUAACUGGGCGUUAAGUUGCAGGGUAUAGACCCGAAACCCGGUGAUCUAGCCAUGGGCAGGUUGAAGGUUGGGUAACACUAACUGGAGGACCGAACCGACUAAUGUUGAAAAAUUAGCGGAUGACUUGUGGCUGGGGGUGAAAGGCCAAUCAAACCGGGAGAUAGCUGGUUCUCCCCGAAAGCUAUUUAGGUAGCGCCUCGUGAAUUCAUCUCCGGGGGUAGAGCACUGUUUCGGCAAGGGGGUCAUCCCGACUUACCAACCCGAUGCAAACUGCGAAUACCGGAGAAUGUUAUCACGGGAGACACACGGCGGGUGCUAACGUCCGUCGUGAAGAGGGAAACAACCCAGACCGCCAGCUAAGGUCCCAAAGUCAUGGUUAAGUGGGAAACGAUGUGGGAAGGCCCAGACAGCCAGGAUGUUGGCUUAGAAGCAGCCAUCAUUUAAAGAAAGCGUAAUAGCUCACUGGUCGAGUCGGCCUGCGCGGAAGAUGUAACGGGGCUAAACCAUGCACCGAAGCUGCGGCAGCGACACUAUGUGUUGUUGGGUAGGGGAGCGUUCUGUAAGCCUGUGAAGGUGUGCUGUGAGGCAUGCUGGAGGUAUCAGAAGUGCGAAUGCUGACAUAAGUAACGAUAAAGCGGGUGAAAAGCCCGCUCGCCGGAAGACCAAGGGUUCCUGUCCAACGUUAAUCGGGGCAGGGUGAGUCGACCCCUAAGGCGAGGCCGAAAGGCGUAGUCGAUGGGAAACAGGUUAAUAUUCCUGUACUUGGUGUUACUGCGAAGGGGGGACGGAGAAGGCUAUGUUGGCCGGGCGACGGUUGUCCCGGUUUAAGCGUGUAGGCUGGUUUUCCAGGCAAAUCCGGAAAAUCAAGGCUGAGGCGUGAUGACGAGGCACUACGGUGCUGAAGCAACAAAUGCCCUGCUUCCAGGAAAAGCCUCUAAGCAUCAGGUAACAUCAAAUCGUACCCCAAACCGACACAGGUGGUCAGGUAGAGAAUACCAAGGCGCUUGAGAGAACUCGGGUGAAGGAACUAGGCAAAAUGGUGCCGUAACUUCGGGAGAAGGCACGCUGAUAUGUAGGUGAAGUCCCUCGCGGAUGGAGCUGAAAUCAGUCGAAGAUACCAGCUGGCUGCAACUGUUUAUUAAAAACACAGCACUGUGCAAACACGAAAGUGGACGUAUACGGUGUGACGCCUGCCCGGUGCCGGAAGGUUAAUUGAUGGGGUCAGCGCAAGCGAAGCUCUUGAUCGAAGCCCCGGUAAACGGCGGCCGUAACUAUAACGGUCCUAAGGUAGCGAAAUUCCUUGUCGGGUAAGUUCCGACCUGCACGAAUGGCGUAAUGAUGGCCAGGCUGUCUCCACCCGAGACUCAGUGAAAUUGAACUCGCUGUGAAGAUGCAGUGUACCCGCGGCAAGACGGAAAGACCCCGUGAACCUUUACUAUAGCUUGACACUGAACAUUGAGCCUUGAUGUGUAGGAUAGGUGGGAGGCUUUGAAGUGUGGACGCCAGUCUGCAUGGAGCCGACCUUGAAAUACCACCCUUUAAUGUUUGAUGUUCUAACGUUGACCCGUAAUCCGGGUUGCGGACAGUGUCUGGUGGGUAGUUUGACUGGGGCGGUCUCCUCCUAAAGAGUAACGGAGGAGCACGAAGGUUGGCUAAUCCUGGUCGGACAUCAGGAGGUUAGUGCAAUGGCAUAAGCCAGCUUGACUGCGAGCGUGACGGCGCGAGCAGGUGCGAAAGCAGGUCAUAGUGAUCCGGUGGUUCUGAAUGGAAGGGCCAUCGCUCAACGGAUAAAAGGUACUCCGGGGAUAACAGGCUGAUACCGCCCAAGAGUUCAUAUCGACGGCGGUGUUUGGCACCUCGAUGUCGGCUCAUCACAUCCUGGGGCUGAAGUAGGUCCCAAGGGUAUGGCUGUUCGCCAUUUAAAGUGGUACGCGAGCUGGGUUUAGAACGUCGUGAGACAGUUCGGUCCCUAUCUGCCGUGGGCGCUGGAGAACUGAGGGGGGCUGCUCCUAGUACGAGAGGACCGGAGUGGACGCAUCACUGGUGUUCGGGUUGUCAUGCCAAUGGCACUGCCCGGUAGCUAAAUGCGGAAGAGAUAAGUGCUGAAAGCAUCUAAGCACGAAACUUGCCCCGAGAUGAGUUCUCCCUGACCCUUUAAGGGUCCUGAAGGAACGUUGAAGACGACGACGUUGAUAGGCCGGGUGUGUAAGCGCAGCGAUGCGUUGAGCUAACCGGUACUAAUGAACCGUGAGGCUUAACCUUACAACGCCGAAGCUGUU